rnacentral:rRNA from 1 species
AAAACACUCCUACGGGAGGCAGCAGUGGGGAAUCUUGCGCAAUGGGCGAAAGCCUGACGCAGCGACGCCGCGUGAGUGAUGAAGGCCUUCGGGUUGUAAAGCUCUGUGGGGAGAGACGAAUAAGGCAUGGCGAAUACCCAUGGUGAUGACGGUAUCUCCUUAGCAAGCACCGGCUAACUCUGUGCCAGCAGCCGCGGUAAGACAGAGGGUGCAAACGUUGUUCGGAAUUACUGGGCGUAAAGCGCAUGUAGGCGGCCUAGCAGGUCGGAUGUGAAAGCCCUCGGCUCAACCGAGGAAGUGCAUUCGAAACCGCAAGGCUCGAGUCCCGGAGAGGGUAGUG